CUAGGGGACCCAGCAGCCUCUUCUCAGACGGGGUGAGGCGCUGAGUGAGGCAGCAGUUGAAGAUCGUCUUCAACUCUGCCUCGUUGAACUCAGCCGUCUCAGCCACCGCCGAGAAUGCCCCGGCGAACUCCCGAUUCCCGUAGUUCCCCUGGCGGAACCUAGCAGCAAGCGGGCUUGAGCGGACCGUGAGGACGACGCCGUGCCGUCCAUCUUGCUGCCCGCUGGGUUCUGAUUGGGGUCGGUCAUUCUGUCAUGAAAUACGUGGUGGAGAACCCAAAUGCAGGCAGGCAGUGAUUAAGGGGUUAACCCCUUAAUCACUGCCUGCCUGCAUUUGGGUUCUCCACCACGUAUUUCAUGACAGGUAACAGGUGCGGGGCAUGAACUAAUAACGAGCACUAACAGGAAACAAGAGGGCAGGAACAAUGAGGAGACCUGGAGAGAGUAUGGCAAGCCAAUACGGCCAAAACGCCUCUCUCCACAUGAAACAAGAGGUUCUGCCAUGGCUCUGCCACAAGAUCAAGAAAAGCAAUACAAGAUGGGGCAGAACCAUGACACUCUGUGGAAGAGAUUGGACAUUGCAGCCUUAAUGAGUAAAGGAGAAGACAAACGCCGGUGUUCACUGACAUGAAUUUCCCCUUUUUUUGUGCCCCAGACACAUCAUUUUUUUCAUGUCACCCAGGAAGACUUUCAAUGUAACGUAUUUUGAUACGCAUUAUCUUUCAUAUGCAUGAAUAUAUGCAAUCUGAUGGAAAUUCAUACCUAUUUUACAAGGUGGCUCAUUUGUGUAAAUUCCAAUUUCCUAUGAUCUCAUUCGUAUGUUUUGUUAUGAUUUCACUUUUCCCCUGUGACGUUAGGUUUAGGGGCGAGGUUAUGGUAGCUAUUUAUCGUUGUUUUGUCACCUUGGUAAAACUCACAUUUUUGUAUUGAAUUAUUUUUAUUACACCAUUAUUAUUAUUAUUAUUCAAUAAUAAUAGUAUUUUGUGCCCAUUCUGUGUGUGGGGAAAAAAGAGAGAGUACAACGUGUUCAGAGCAAACUUGACAUAGGCUACUUCCUCUGCUUUGAAAUGAAAAAAGUUGUUCCUGUCUUUGUGUCAGAGCUCUGCAGAAGGGUUCAUUUAAAUGCUGUGUGGAGGGCAGCAGAAUUUAGAAUUAGUUUAAUCAAGUCUACAAUAUGAGGAUUAUUCAAAUUCAGCUUUGUGAGUUUAUGUUAUGAAUUGUAUCAUGUGUUUUGCAAUCUUGAAUUUUUUUUUAGAUACAUUUUUUUAUGGCUUUUACUUUUAUGAUGUUUUUUAUGAUGUUUUUUAUUGUCAUUUAUAGAUGUAUUAAUUUGGUGUCAAGCUACAGAGGCUUUAGAUCAACUGACUGAUUUGGGACAGAAUGUGACUAUAAACUGUGAUCUGGAUGCAAAUGAAGUUUAUUGGAUUUUAUUGAAACAAUCAGAUUCUCCUACAGUGAUACUGCGCUCAUUCUCAAAGUCAGCCCAUUACUUUAAUAAAACACUGAAAAACAAAUAUUCAGUACAAUCUAAACAUCGUCUGGUCAUAUAUAACGUCACUGUAGAUGAGUUAGGAGUUUAUUACUGUAUGAACACAGAUACACCUCCUAAACUCAGUCACAGCACAAGACUGAACAUCAUUGGUAAGUGCAUUUGUUCCAAGGUUAAAAAUAUACUGUACUGUUAAUUUGUUAGGAGUGUAUGAUAAUGAUAAUAUUAAUAUUAAAUUAUUAAACCUUAAAUUGUUUUUAAUAAAAUCAUUAAUAAAUAAGAAUCAUUAAAAUCAUUAAGAAAUAAAUGUGAUAUACAUAUUUGUAUGUGUCCUUAAAUAGUAACAGACAUAAUUGUAACAGAGUGCACAAACUUCAUUACAGCUGAUAUAACUUCAAGUUACACAACUUCUUCAAGUCAUACAUCUCUGUAUGUAGCAGAGAAAAACUCAAAACAGUGGAAGACUUUUACUCUCAUAUCUGGUCUGCUGAAUGCUGUUCUGAUAAUUACAAUCAUGGGACUGUUAAAGGUUUAUGUGAUUGGAAAUGGAUGCUCGAAAAAAUAUGGAAGCAGGUCAGGACACCAUUCUAACACUGAUCUACAGCAGACACAAGUAAUAGAACAAACUCAAGACACAAUUGAACUACAGUAUGUAGCGGUGGACUUUUCUAAACUGCGUAGAAAUAUUCGACCCUGCCAUGACAACAGCACCUAUGCUGCUCUAAAUCUGCCAAAAUCAUAAACAAGAAUAAUACUGAUCUCAUAUUUACUGUAUCUGUGUCCAGGAUUAUUAACCAGUAAUGGAUUGUUUAACAUAAGUUAUUUGCUUCUUUGCUUCAGUUUAUAUCAAAUCUCUGUGAUCAAUGAGCAUUUUUACCUCAUUGGUUGCUUGCCUAUGAUCCGUCACCAAUACCGAAAAGUAUACAUUUUGUGUCAAUGCAGCUCUAGAAUUUUUAUGCAACAAUUAUUCAUAAACUGUUGGCAUAUUUAGCUCAUAAGAUGUUAACCAGAUGACCACAAAACACACUUAAACAUUAGAUAAACACACUUAAACAUUCUCAAUUGUGGCCUGUGUGUUGCAAUAAAUGUAUCUUUAGAAAUAACUGAAACUGGCUGAAACAGCUUCUGUAAGCAGCUGGUUGUUUUAUUUUUCUCACCAUUUCUUCUGAAACUUGUAUCUUGACAGACAUUGAAGUUCAUAGAAUAGAGAAUGGACUACACAUUAUUUAUUAUUUCUGAGAGUAUUCCAAGUCAUUGGAAUUAAACAAGGUUUUAAAUGAAAAAGAUUUCCUUUGGAGGUCAGGUCUACUACCUUUUUUGGAAGUCUGAACAAUACAAAUGCAACAUUUUAGUGCUUACCAAAAAGAAAGAGUAGGCUACAUACACAUAGUUAAACUCAUUGUUCAAUUAAGCAUUCAACCAAACUUAGAAAUGUGUUCCACUGGUUUGGUCAACCAGUGACUGAUAGAAUCUCACCUUUGACUACACUAAUACGGUAAAUAUAAAAUAUAUAAUGGAUCUGACUUAAAUAGAAACAGGUCAGCAUUUCAGUGUGUUCUCUGGGGUUUAAACAUCAAUAAUGAUAAAAAUAAAAUAAAAUAAUACAAAUAAUGAUGAAAAUAAAACAUAUCCUUCAAUUUGAUUUCCCCCGUUUUGUAAAAGCAUUAGUGCAAUAUAGACCGGGCCAUAAUGUAAUUUGUCUCAAAGCAUGAUUAAUAUCUUUCUUUUAUUAAGGGUUGAGUACAGUAUUACUUCAGCAAAUUUUAGUUUUGUUUGUAUUAUUAUACAAAUGCACCCACAAUGUUUAUACUGUAUCCUUAUUUGCUCUUUCAUUAUGGAGAAGUGGAAUUUUUAAAGCCUAUUUGUCUAUAUAUGUCAUUCUUUCAAAUAAUUUUGAAAAAAAAUCAAACGUAAAUAGCAUAGUUACUAAACAUAUUGGUAAACAACCUCUUUUUUAAUGUUCGCAACUCUAGAAAUGUGCGAAAAAACUGACCACAAUGUAGCUGCUGGCAGUUAUGGGUUCUAGCUCACAAUUUAACCCUCACUCAAAUGUCUGCAAAAGAAUCAUGAGUUAUCAAAAGAAGUUGAAUGAUACAUGCAUUUUUCACAAAGCGCUCUCCAUAAAAAAAAUGUUUCAUGCUUUUGUAGUAAUAAAAUGCAUUUUGCACAUGGUAUGUCCCAAUAAAAAAAAGAUUGAAAAAAGAAAGAUGUAUGAGUAAGCAUAUGCAAAGGGUAAGUAAACUUAAACUUAAACCAGAAAAUAAUUCCACUGUUUAGUCCCUCUGCAAUGAUUAAAUAGAGUCUCACCUUUGACUAGACUGAAGGUUUAACCUUGUACCGAGUGCAGUGUGUUUCUCAGACCUGUAAACAUUUGUGUAUAUCAGUGGUUUAAACCUCAGAUGGAAACAGGGUGGCAUUGCAGUUUGCUCUUUGCAAUGAUGCUCUGUGUGUUUGUACACGUGUACUUUUGUGUCUAGAUUUAACUAGACCAUGGAGUCACGAAUCAGAGCUAAAUACAGUAUUUUAGAAUGGACAGUGGGUUUUCAGAAAAUAACUUGUUGAAAGAUUAAACAUUAGUAGGCUUGCUUUCAGUUAUGCAUGAUUUCCCAGUACUGAACAAAAAAUAAUAAAUAUAUACAGGAAUAUAUGUAUAUGUAUAUAUUUUUUUGGGACUGGCAUUUACAAAGACCCUAAAAAGUAAGUAGAGCACAUGGUCAUGGGCUAGGCUUGAUUCUUAUCUGAAAUAUUAAUUAUAUUAUAUAAAAUAACAGACAUUCAUUGCAUGUUUAUAUGUUGCAUUCUAGAGGAACUUAUUUAAAACAGCCACUAAGGCUAAAAGUUUGUUCUCACCCGCAGACCAUUCAAGCCAGGGUGAUACUUCGAGGUUUCUUUGAAGUGUCUUUAGGUCCUCCAUGCAGUCUUGUUGAAGUUAUCAUUUAAACAUGACAAAAUCCAAUUCUGUAUAUCGCACACCCAUGUUGUCAUGUUGCAGUUUGCUGAAUGACAUGUUUCAAGUUGCAGUAAAUAAAAUGUGCACACCAACAACAACAACAGUCAUGAAAAUAUUCAACAAGAUGUGAUGGUAAGAAUUCACCAAAGCUUUUCAUCGUGUAAUUUUUCUUUUGAAAGUGCAAAAGUGUUUUUUAAUGAUUUGUUUUUUUAAAUAAAGAGCAUGACAUCAACCUCAGGAACUCUAUCAUGAUUACACCAAGAUCACAUCAUUUCCAAAUAACUGGUAUGUUUAUUUAAAGUAUCAGUGGCUUCAUAUGUCAUGUUGAGAUAUGUUAGAGAAAGAGUAGAAGCAUAUUAAUAAGCAGAUAUCAUAGGAACCCAAACAUAAAAACAAAACACUUUUAAAUGUCAGAAACAUACAAAUUUAAAGUUGUAAGACAUACAGCUUAUAAUUAGUAUACAACAUUUCUUUCUAAGCUGUGACCCAGAAAACAUCUCUUCCUCUGAGUGGAAACUCUACCAAGCUUUAGACAAAAACCUCCACACAAAAACCACACUGAACAGUUAGUGUGCCAUAGCAGAACUAAGGGCACAUUCUCUUUAUCGCUUUAUUUUUUAAUUUAUUUUUUGUAUUUAAAUCCAUUAUUACCUUUCUGACAGUACAAAGUGUGUAUAAGUACAAAGUAUAACAUAGAAUGACAUCUACUGUGAAAAAUAAAAAAUGAACUACUAUAUUCUUUAAAGUAAUAUGUCUAAUAUGUAAUUCAUGAAUAGAAGGAACAGAUGACAUUAAUGGUUCACUUGAGAUAAAACAUGAAUUUAAGUAUAAUUACAACUAAUUGGACAUUAAAUGUAAAUAAAUGAUUAUUAUUGUAUUAUAAUGAUUUACUUUUAAUGACAUUUUUAUCUGCAGCAGAGCACUCACUUCUGCCCUCUGCUGCAUAAAGGCCUAACCAUUAGUCAAGGGUUGAUUCUCAUUUCUUGCUAUACACUAAAGUACACUAAAUAUUUUAAGUAGAUACAUACUAAAUGUUAGCAUCUCAGUAAACAUCUUCAGAAACAAUGAAGAUGUGUAUUUCACUUCCUCUCUGUAUGGGAAAGUCAACUUGCCCUCUCCUAUGAAACAGUAAAUAGUUUGAAUUAUUUGCUGUGUAGUGAUGUUAUAAAGACAGUCAGCAGCAUUACUGCUUGUGUUAUUAAUUAUUAAGAUAUUAUGUCUGUGUACCAAACCAAAGAAUUUUGUCACUUGAACAAAUGUAUAAUGCAAGGAUAUACUGUAAACACAGGUGUGUUAGCGCAUGUAGUCCAUUAAGGGGCGCCACCAAAGUAAAAUUCCAGCAGUGCUACAUUUGAGACACACAAAAUUCACAGUAGAAAAUAAAGUGAUGAAUAUAUUUUAUUUUAUUUACUGUUAUAUUUUUACACUCCUAAUUAGGCUACCUAGCAUACACACACACACGCACACAAGAAGAGUCUCGGACAGUAAAAAAAAAAACUUACACAUAAGCCCUAUUAAGCAAACAUAAGAAA